rnacentral:rRNA from 1 species
GCAUAUCAAUAAGCGGAGGAAAAGAAACCAACAGGGAUUACCUCAGUAACGGCGAGUGAAGCGGUAACAGCUCAAAUUUGAAAUCUGGCCUCACGGUCCGAGUUGUAAUUUGUAGAGGAUGCUUCGAGCAUGGUCUGGCCUAAGUUCCUUGGAACAGGACGUCAUAGAGGGUGAGAAUCCCGUAUGCGGUCAGGUGCCUACGCUCAUGUGAAGCUCCUUCGACGAGUCGAGUUGUUUGGGAAUGCAGCUCAAAAUGGGUGGUAAAUUUCAUCUAAAGCUAAAUAUUGGCCAGAGACCGAUAGCGCACAAGUAGAGUGAUCGAAAGAUGAAAAGCACUUUGGAAAGAGAGUUAAACAGUACGUGAAAUUGUUGAAAGGGAAGCGCUUGCAACCAGACUUGCGCGCGGCCGAUCAUCCGGUGUUCUCACCGGUGCACUCGGCCGUGCUCAGGCCAGCAUCGGUUUUGGCGGCUGGAUAGAGGCCCUAGGAAUGUAGCCCCUCUCGGGGAGUGUUAUAGCCUAGGGUGCAAUGCAGCCUGCUGGGACCGAGGACCGCGCUUCGGCUAGGAUGCUGGCGUAAUGGUUGUAAGCGGCCCGUCUUGAAACACGGACC